AUAAAAUCUUAAAAAAAAAAAAAUUUAUUUUAAGUCAGUUAGGAAUCACAAAAUAGCACUGAAAUUACACUUAACAUUUAAUUUUGUACUUAUUUUUAAAGAAGUAAUUUUUGUUGAGAAAGAAAGAUUCAGUGAUUUCACACUAAUAAAUCUUCCAAAUAUCAUAGAAUUUUCUGUUUUGGGAACUAGAGAAAACUUAAGAGAAUUAUUGAGGAUGCCUUUUUUGUGGACUCUAAGACCAUUUAAUUAGCUUUAGAGGAAAAAAGAAAACUCUUAACCACGGAUAUUUCUUAUCUUUUUUUAAUUUUAACUCUUUUUCUCCUUUGAUCAUGUAAGUGAUUUAUUGUAGGAAAUUUCAAAAUACAGGAAAAAAUUAAAGCCAAACAAAAUAUCCCAUCACCCAAAGAUAACUACAUUUUGUUGUAUAUUCAUCUGUUUAUUUUUAGAAGUAGACAUUUGAACAAAAUACAGAAUAGUACGUUUUCAAAUUUCCUAAUAACGGCCUAAAUCUUUACUUAGUUACUUUGUUAAAGUAAAUAUUUCAGAUUACUAUUUAUUCCAGGUGCGCGGACCUUCACGAGCUGAUCCCAACAAAGUAGUAGAUGAUCUGCUAACGCCCUGUUCUCCUGGUGACCCUGGUGCCAUUGAAAUGACAUGGAUGGAUGUCCCUGGGGAUAAACUUUUGGAGCCAGUUGUUUGCAUGUCGGAUAUGUUACGGUCACUAUCUAACACAAAGCCCACAGUCAAUGAACAUGACUUGUUGAAAUUAAAGAAGUUUACAGAAGAUUUUGGCCAAGAAGGUUAAACCAAAGAGAACGAGGAAGACAUUUACCAUGUGUGUUCUUUAUUUCAUAGGUACUUUUGCCUUUCUUGGAUGGCAUUCAUAUUAUUUCCAGUAAAACUCUUUUACCACAGGGAAAUACAGAUCUCACUCCAGAGUUCCUUUCAUUUUAUACAUACUUCUGCUCCACUACCAGUUACAUGCUCCUGUUUACAAAAAUUAUAAAAUAAUGGAUAAUAAGGAAAUGAGUGAUAUAUGAAUGGCAAAAAAUAGGAAUUAUCCAGUUAAGAAGAGGAUUAACAUUGAUUGAGAUACCAAUACUUAGAAUUGGUGGUAUUUGCAAAGAGCAUUUUUUUUUUUUACCAUAAUGAAAUAGGGUUUAUCUUAUAUUUUGAAAAAAUAAUUCUUAAGCAUCAUUCUCAUCAAUGUAAAACUUAAAUAUUUUAAAUGAUAGAAUCUUUAUUCUCAGGGAUGGUCAAUAAAACAGCAAAGAGCACUGUGAUUGGGCUUGAAAGAUUUUGAAUUGUGUUCUAGCCAAGUCUCAUUGAUUUUUGAUAGGCUGACAUUUUCUUUGUGUAGAUUUCAAUAAUUUCUUUAAAAACAACAAGCUUCUACAUUUAAUUAGAUAAUACCUUUCACUGUGCAAUCUCAAAGACUUUCAAAAUUGGCAUUGUCUUCAUCUUGAAGAAGAAAAUUGUCUGUUUCAGGAUCUUUUUGUAGCAAGAUUGACCAAAACAGAUGGCAAAUAAAUACAUACUUUUUAAAUAAUUCUGUCAUGAAAUACUAUAAUGGGAACCUUUGCUAAAAGGAAUGGCAUCCCUUUGAAUUAUGGGAAGUUUCUUGUGGGUGUGUGUGUGUACAUAUAUAUAUAGAUAUAAUUUUUUUUUUUAAUAUAGGCUACCAAGGGUCUUGUCUUUUACCUUUUAAGUCCAGGGAACAGCUUGUCCUUGCCACACAUACGUUAUCAAGUGUAAUGCUUGUGAAGCUUUAGAAAUGAGCUAAUGUCUCAUUAAAUAAUAAAAUACAAACAUGAUAUGUUGUUUUAAUAUCUCCAAAUAAAUCUGAAGGUGUAUGUUAACACACUUCAGCAUCAACACUAAGUUGUGCCUUGUGCAUUUGCAUUGGCUCUAUAUGCAAAAGGAUGAUCAAGUUAGCUGGAAUGAGGUAGAUUCCUUAAUUACUAGAAAGUUCUACCUUGCAAAUACUAUAGAAUAACUUGCAUUUUAAAAUAUAUUUGCACAUUUUACAUAUAAUGCUCUAUGGUUGCCUUUGGGUUUUCUGUACAGAUUGUUUUUGUUGAUACUAAAUGGAAAUCAUAGGCCUGAAAUACGCUCUUCUUACGUGAAGUAAAUUGAUAUAACCUACUAUUGGCUA